rnacentral:rRNA from 1 species
AUGAACAGUAAUAGGGCUCCUGGGUCGGAUAGCAUUCCGGCCGAGUUUUACCAACACUGUUGGGAGAUAGUGAAGAAUGAUAUUAUGGGUCUGUUUCAUGCUUUCCAUGAAGGGAGCUUGGAUGUAUAUAGGUCGAACUACGGCAUUAUCACUCUCCUCCCUAAGAUCUCUGCAGUAGAUAAGAUCCAACAAUUCAUACCAAUUUGUCUGUUGAGAUGUCCCUAUAAAUUGAUUACAAAGGUCUUAGAUAAUAGAGUGGCCCUUUUUGCUGACAUUUUGUUUAGCAAACAUCAAAAUGCAUUUAUCAAAAACAGGAAUAUCAUGGAUGGGGUUUUAUCUUUGCACGAAAUUCUUCAUCAUACUUAUGUUAUGAAAAAAUGUGGGAUUAUCAUUAAACUCGACUUCGAGAAAGCGUAUGACAAGGUUAACUGGGAUUUUCUUUUGAAGUGCCUUGAUAAUAGAGGGUUUGGGAAAACUUGGUGCGAGUGGAUGAGAAAGAUUCUACAUAAUGGCACAGUUUGUGUCAAGUUAAACAAUACUAUGGGCCCAUACUUCCAAAGCUAUAAAGGGGUCAGACAGGGAGAUCCUAUAUCCCCGUUCCUAUUUAACAUAGCAUCUGAGUGCUUAUGCAAAAUGGUGCUGCAAGCA